rnacentral:rRNA from 1 species
UACGUAGGGUGCAAGCGUUACUCGGAAUUACUGGGCGUAAAGCGUGCGCAGGCGGUUCUAUAAGACAGAUGUGAAAUCCCCGGGCUCAACCUGAGAACUGCAUUUGUGACUGUAGAGCUGGAGUGCGGCAGAGGGGGAUGGAAUUCCGCGUGUAGCAGUGAAAUGCGUAGAUAUGCGGAGGAACACCGAUGGCGAAGGCAAUCCCCUGGGCCUGCACUGACGCUCAUGCACGAAAGCGUGGGGAGCAAACAGG